rnacentral:rRNA from 1 species
CCCUACGGGGGGCAGCAGUGGGGAAUAUUGCACAAUGGGGGGAACCCUGAUGCAGCGACGCCGCGUGGGUGAAGAAGUCAUUCGUGACGUAAAGCCCUAUCAGCAGGGAAGAAAAUGACGGUACCUGACUAAGAAGCCCCGGCUAACUACGUGCCAGCAGCCGCGGUAAUACGUAGGGAGCGAGCGUUGUCCGGAAUUACUGGGUGUAAAGGGAGCGUAGGCGGGGAUGCAAGUUGGAUGUUUAAACUAUCGGCUCAACCGGUAAUUGCAACCAAAACUGCAACUCUUGAGUGAAGUAGAGGCAG